rnacentral:lncRNA from 1 species
AUAGUAAAAUAGAGGACUUAUUAUUUCAUUUUUUUAAUGGAACAGUGUGGAUCAUCUUUUUUCUUCUUUUUUAUUAUGUGGACUGUGGAUCAUUUUUUUUCCUUUUCUUCCAUGGUAAAACAGGGAUCCUUUCUCUUUUUUUUUUUAACAGAAUAGAGGACUCAUCCCUCGUUCCUGAGGCAAGGCCGUAAGGGAGAUCCUCCUCUCCGGCCAACACCGCCCACAACUAAAUGAGCGGUCCCCG